rnacentral:rRNA from 1 species
ACGCUGGCGGCGUGCUUAACACAUGCAAGUCGAACGGGGCACCCUUGAAUGAGACUUCGGUCAAAGGAAAGGAAUGCUUAGUGGCGGACUGGUGAGUAACGCGUGAGGAACCUGCCUUAUACAGGGGGAUAACAGUUAGAAAUGACUGCUAAUACCGCAUAAGCGCACAGGAUUGCAUGAUCUGGUGUGAAAAACUCCGGUGGUAUAAGAUGGACCCGCGUCUGAUUAGCUGGUUGGUGAGGUAACGGCCCACCAAGGCGACGAUCAGUAGCCGACCUGAGAGGGUGACCGGCCACAUUGGGACUGAGACACGGCCCAAACUCCUACGGGAGGCAGCAGUGGGGAAUAUUGCACAAUGGGGGAAACCCUGAUGCAGCGACGCCGCGUGAGCGAAGAAGUAUUUCGGUAUGUAAAGCUCUAUCAGCAGGGAAGAAAAAAAUGACGGUACCUGACUAAGAAGCCCCGGCUAACUACGUG